GCACAUUAGACUGAGUAAACAUCCGAGCAGGGAGAAGCUGUAGAUGCCGGCCUGAUCAGUGGUAUAGGAGAUAAGAGGAAGACCCCCAAGGGCCGAAACGUGUUGGAGCACUCCAUCAAUACGACUGACAACAGCGGCACGAAUAAGCAGCACCAGCUACACCAGAGACGGCACCCGGUCACGUGACUGAAGACCAGGAAGUAACUGCGGGCUACGAUCGGAAGAGAAACACCGAGGAGAAAGACUGACACUGAUGCGGUUAGCAGCGGAGGAGGAGAAUCAAGCUGCAUCAGCAGGAGUGCAAACAAUUGCUCUAGCCAGUGUGAGGAGUGGCACAGUUAAAGGCCGUUCCUUGGUGGUGGCAACUGCCGAGUGACAGAGAUCAGCAAAACAGGAUGGGAAAAGUUUGAGAUUUUAUGAAUUUCAAUGCUAACAAAUCACAUCACAAAGACAAUCAGAAGAUGGCCCAGAUGGAGGUACCACCAAAGGAAAGUUUAAUACCCACUGGAAACAGUGUGACUCUACUCAAAAUUCCAUCAACAAGUUAGCAGGUGUUAAGGCCACCAUACAUCUAAGCUCCGUUUUCCCAAUUCCCUGAUCCAACUGAAACAGCUGAUUUGCCGACAGGUGGCAAUCCACUGGGGAAUCAAGGAAAUUCUUCAUUUUAAAAUGCCCUGAUUUGCAGAUCCGACUGUUUUAUAUUUUUCAGUUCUGACAGAUGUGCAAGUAUGUGCUGCUGGAGAGAGAUCCAAAGGUCAUUUUAGAAGUACUGACCAAAAAAUAGGUCAAUACUGUAAAUUAGCCCCUUAAAGAAGAGAUAUGUGGUUCUGUUCUCCUGAAAAUCCAAAUCCACCCAAAUUAGUUUGAUCCGAACCAAAAACCUGGUCCGGAUCUCCUGUGAAGAUCUGAUUUGAACCGAGUCUUGGUUCGGAUUUUUGAGUAUUGGAUUGCAACAAUUACAUGAUUUUAGCUGUAUUUAUUGAUUUCUUUUAUCAACGAUUAUCGAUUUUGUUUUUGAUAUUUUUUACCUAAACAAAAACAAAGUCCGACCCAAAAAACUUGAGGGUGGAUUUUCAAAACCAAAAAUCAAAAGCAAUGGUGAAUUAGAAACACGACCCAAACAUGAGGAUUCGUGCAAUGGGGGUCAUUCCGAGUUGUUCGCUCGCUAGCUGCUUUUAGCAGCAUUGCACAUGCUAAGCCGCCACCCUCUGGGAGUGUAUCUUAGCUUAACAGAAUUGCGAACGAAAGAUUAGCAGAAUUGCGAAUAGAAAUUUCUUAGCAGUUUCUGAGUAGCUUGAGACUUACCCACAGAUUGCGAUCAGCUCAGCCCGUUUCGUUCCUGGUUUGACGUCACACACACGUCCAGCGUUCAGCCAGCCACUCCCCCGUUUCUCCAGACACUCCAGCGUUUUUCCCUGACACGCCUGCGUUUUUCCGCACACUCCCAGAAAAUGGCCAGUUUCCGCCCAGAAACACCCACUUCCUGUCAAUCACACCCUGAUCACUUCAACGAUGAAAAUUCUUCGUUCGGGCGUGAGUAAAUCUAAGUUUUGUGCAAAAAUACUUAGCGCAUGCAUGUGCAUUUUUGCCUUAAUCGCUCCAUUGUGAAAAUCGGCAACGAGCGAACAACUCGGAAUGACCCCCAAUGUUUGGUUAUUUUCAUACUGCUACUCAUUGGCAGUUAUUUACAAACAGGGAUAUGUGCACAUCUCUACCUUAAAAACACUAGAGAAAAGAAAUCCUAAAAAUGUUUGGUUAUUUUCAUACUGCUACUCAUUGCCAGUUAUUUACAAACAGGGAUAUGUGCACAUCUCUACCUUAAAAACACUAGAGAAAAAAAAUCCUAAAAAUGUUUGGUUAUUUUCAUAAUGGUACUCAUUGCCAGUUUUUUACACAUCCAAACCAUAGGUUUUACUAUGUAACAGUUUAGAGGAUCAAAACCCAAAUCACUGUUGAUACAGUAGUCUGAAAACACCAAAAUGUUAUACUAUCUUAGCUAGGGUAAAGAAAGAGAAAAAAAAAGACAAUUAAAAAAAAACCUCCCUCUCCCUUCUGUAACAAGCUGUCUUACUCAACAUCGGUCUCAGCAAAGAAGGUCAAAUGAUGGGACCCCACACCUUAAGAUGCCUAUUCCAAUAAUAAUUAGGACUGUCUCUUCCUGGUAUCCCUGGCCGGUGGUUACCAGGCUUAUAAUGUUGAAAUAUAGUGCCCAUUCUUAUGGUAUUACAAGUGCCAGCAUGGAAGUGAGUGGCAAUGCAUA